CCUACGGGAGGCAGCAGUGGGGAAUAUUGGGCAAUGGGCGCAAGCCUGACCCAGCAACGCCGCGUGAAGGAAGAAGGCUUUCGGGUUGUAAACUUCUUUUCUCAGGGACGAAGCAAGUGACGGUACCUGAGGAAUAAGCGACGGUUAACUACGUGCCAGCAGCCGCGGUAAUACGUAGGUGGCAAGCGUGAUCCGGAUUUACUGGGUGGAAAGGGCGUGUAGGCGGGACUGCAAGUCAGAUGUGAAAACCACGGGCUCAACCUGUGGACUGCAUUUGAUACUGUCGUUCUUGAGUACUGGAGAGGCAAGCGGAAUUCCUGGUGUAGCGGUGAAAUGCGUAGAUAUUAGGAAGAACACCAGUGGCGAAGGCGGUCUGCUGGACAGCAACUGACGCUGAGGCGCGAAAGCGUGGGGAGCAAACAGGAUUAGAUACCCGGGUAGUC
rnacentral:rRNA from 1 species